rnacentral:rRNA from 1 species
GGUGAACGCUGGCGGCGUGCCUAAUACAUGCAAGUCGAGCGAACAGACGAGGAGCUUGCUCCUCUGACGUUAGCGGCGGACGGGUGAGUAACACGUGGAUAACCUACCUCUAAGUCGGGGAUAACUACGGGAGACAGGAGCUAAUACCGGAUAAUACAACGAACCGCAGGGAGCAAUAGUGAAAGACGGUUUUGCUGUCACAUAGAGAUGGAUCCGUGUCGCAUUAGCUAGUUGGUAAGGUAACGGCCUACCAAGGCUACGAUGCGUAGCCGACCUGAGAGGAUGAUCAGCCACACUGGAACUGAGACACGGUCCAGACUCCUACGGGAGGCAGCAGUGGGGAAUCUUGCACAAUGGGCGCAAGCCUGACCCAGCCAUGCCGCGUGGGUGAUGAAGGUCUUCGGGUCGUAAAGCUCUGUUGUUAGGAAAGAACAACUGUAUGUUAAUCUCUGCCCGUCUUGACGGUACCUAAUCAGUAAGCCACGGCUAACUUCGUG